CAGGCGCCCGCCAAAACGCCCGGCUAAUUUUUUUGUAUAUUUAGUAGAGACGGGGUUUCACCGUGUUAGCCAGGAUGGUCUCGAUCUCCUGACCUCGUGAUCCACCCACCUUGGCCUCCCAAAGUGCUGGGAUUACAGGCUUGAGCCACCGUGCCCGGCCCUUAAGUACAUUUUUAAUGAUACUAUAUCACCACCAUAAGUACUACAUCACUAUUGUAAAUAGAAAAUUACUAUGAAAUAGAAUACUAUGAAAACAAGGUAAUGUUACUUAAUUUAAAAUAAUAAAAUAAUAAUAUUUGAGUAAUGACAAAUCUGGUGGGUUUGGAAAAGUGCACACCUGAAAAUCAGCAAAAAGUAUUAAGAAACUAACUGCUUUUUUCUUUCUUAUCAAUCAAUUAAAAAUGAAUAUUUAGCUCAAUGUUUCUCAGUCCAAGUCAAAGAUGAGCUGAAUAUCUAAAAGGUAUUUAAUGUCCUUCUCAAGAAAGGUUGGAUAUUGACAAUUAAUUCCUAAUUUAAUUUAUAUAGGCAUUUGUUCAACAAAUUUUAUUUUUCCCAAUAGGGUUCUAAAGUGAAAUCUUGAAUCUUUCAAAUGGGUCUGGUUAUUUGGUAAAACCCAGAAAAGUGAUUUACCAAGAUUUUCUUGCCCUGAAUCAUUGCCGUCUGGUUUGAGAAAAUAGCUAUAAGACCUUUUAUCAAGUGGUUUCUUGGUAAUUUUGAAACGUCUUCAGCAAAUUCUUCAGAUGAAUUUUUUUUAAGAAACUACAAGUUUUUUCUUUUUUUUUUUUUCUUUUUCUUUUUUGAGACGAAGUCUUGCUUGUUGCCCAGGCUGGAGUGCAGUGGCGCGAUCUUGGCUCACUGCAAGCUCCGCCUCCCGGGUUCACGCCAUUCUCCUGCCUCAGUCUCCUGAGUAGCUGGGACUACAGGCGCCCGCCACCAUGGCCGGCUAAUUUUUUUGUAUUUUUAGUAGACACGGGGUUUCACCGUGUUAGCCAGGAUGGUCUCGAUCUCCUGACCUCGUGAUCCGCCCGCCUCAGCCUCCCAAAGUGCUGGGAUUACAGGCGUGAGCCACUGCGCUUAGCCUAAGUUUUUUUCAAUAAGUACUGCUGGUGGAAUGAAUGUCCGUUUCAGAAUCUGUUCCUAGGAUCCUGAGUUUACCAUAUAAAACAUGUAAGUGAGAUAUACAUAUAUUCAUAUGUACAGAAAUACACAUAUAAACAUAUCUAUCAUAGCUUUAUCAUAUAUGUAUGAAGUCUUAUUUAAAUCUCUCUCAGUGGAAACUAGUGUUCAAAGAGAUGUAGUGAUCUCAUUCAAUCAACAGUAAGCAAAUAUUCGUUGACUGUGUACUGGGUAGCAGGCACCAUUCUAGGCUUUGAGACAACAAAGAGAAACAGAAUAGACGCAGUCACGUCGUUUGUGUCCUAGUGACGGUUGAGGCAGAAGAGAGAAGAAAGAAGGUAAUUUCCAAUAUUGAUAAGCUAUGAAGAGGAGCAGAGGUCACUCAAAGAAGUCCUGUCUGGGAUAUCUGGAGGAGCAAUCAGUCCUGUGAAGACUGGGAAGGGGCAUUCCAGACAUAAGAAACAGCUACUGCAAAGCCCGUAGGACAAAAACAAGACCGGCAUGUCCAGGAAGCAAAGAAUAUAUGGCUGGGAUCUACUGAGCCAUGAUGAGCUUUAUAGUCACAUAAGGCCUUGUAACUAUGAUGAGGAGCUUGGAAUUUAUUCUUUGCAAUGAAAAACAUGUGGAGGGUUUUAAUUAGGGGGAUGACAUAAUCUGAUUUCAUUUCAAAAAUAUCCUUCUGGAUGCUGUGUGAAAAGGGAAAGAAGACACAAAGUCAAAGGCUUGUCUGUUGGCUCAGCAAGAAGCGAUGGUGGCCGGGCGCAGUGGCUCAUGCCUGUAAUCCCAGCACUUUGGGAGGCUGAGGCGGGCAGAUCACAAGGUCAAGAAAUCAAGACCAUCCUGGCCAACAUGGUGAAACUCCGUCUCUACUAAAAAUAGAAAAAUUAGCCGGGCGUGGUGGCGCCUGCCUGUAAUCCCCGCUACU
rnacentral:lncRNA from 1 species